ACACUCCUGCGGGAGGCAGCAGUGGGGAAUUUUGGACAAUGGGGGCAACCCUGAUCCAGCAAUGCCGCGUGAGUGAAGAAGGCCUUCGGGUUGUAAAGCUCUUUUGUCAGGGAAGAAACGGUAGUAGCGAAUAACUAUUACUAAUGACGGUACCUGAAGAAUAAGCACCGGCUAACUACGUGCCAGCAGCCGCGGUAAUACGUAGGGUGCAAGCGUUAAUCGGAAUUACUGGGCGUAAAGCGUGCGCAGGCGGUUGUGUAAGUCAGAUGUGAAAUCCCCGGGCUCAACCUGGGAAUUGCAUUUGAGACUGCACGGCUAGAGUGUGUCAGAGGGGGGUAGAAUUCCACGUGUAGCAGUGAAAUGCGUAGAUAUGUGGAGGAAUACCGAUGGCGAAGGCAGCCCCCUGGGAUAACACUGACGCUCAUGCACGAAAGCGUGGGGAGCAAACAGGAUUAGAUACCCUGGUAGUCCCAU
rnacentral:rRNA from 1 species